GGGGAUGACGGGCUUCGACGGAAAUCAUUUCUAAAUAAUCGCAAGCCGAGUUGAAUCGUCUCGAAAACCGAUUCAAACCAUUAACUGCUAACGAAAAAUUGGCGUUAGCUUACGCUUAAUCGCGUAGGCCAUCGGCAUGCUGACGCUUUA
rnacentral:tmRNA from 1 species